rnacentral:lncRNA from 1 species
CUAUGUCUCACUGUUCUUCAAAAGCCAGAAAUCAAUUUUUAACUAUAUAGACAAAGUGACUUGAACUUAUAUAUGCAGAUAACUCAAAAAUAUCAGAAAUGUGGAUUAAAAACAGAUUCAUCUGUAAGGUUAUUAAUAUAUAUAUAUAGCAGCACAUACCAGAAAAUUUUGGUUAGUUGUCAAGGCUUAAUAUUGUCAUGGAACAAUUUGAUUGCAGCAUGGCAUAGACAACAACCAGGAUAAAAUGCAACCGGUUGGGGUUCCAAUGAGGACUAGUUGUAGCAUGUACACACACUUAAUGCGUUCUUCAGAAUGGCUUGUCUUACAAGUUACUCACCAAAGGAAGACAUGAAUGUAAUAGGAGAGGUCAAUGUCACCCAUGUUACAUGUUUCCUGUCAUUGUCUGACAGAUUAAAUGUCUCAAAUGUAACCGGAAAUAAACGGCAAAGUAGUCGGUCCUUAGUCGGUUAUCCUUUCAAGUCUUAGCCAUGGAAUUCUUUAUCAUCCUUUGGAAGACAACACCAUGUGAUUCCCCAUGAACCCAUGUCUUUCUCAUUACCGAUCGGACCCCAUCAGUUGCACCUUCACCACUCAUUCCAUAUCCCCCCCUUAAUAAUUGAUGAACAUUAUUUCCUCUCUGCCCCUUACAUUUAUAUAUACAAGUAAGAUUAAGUUCAUUGCCAACACCUACCUUCAACAUUCUCAAGCUUGCUUUCUAAGUUAUCUGAGAUCCUCCACUUCUUCCUUUUUUAAAGCAUACAUCUAUUGUAAACAAAAAUGGCUAUCCGCUUGCCUCGUAUCAUAAGCUCUAAGAAAGUUCCCAAGGGCUACUUUGCAGUUUAUGUUGGAGAAAACCAGAAGAGGUUUGUGAUACCAGUGUCAUUCUUGAGCCAGCCUUUAUUUCAAGAUUUGCUAGGCAAGUCAGAAGAAGAGUUCGGAUAUAGUCAUCCUACCGGUGGUCUCACAAUUCCCUGCAAUGAAGAUAUUUUUCUUGAUGUUACCUCUCGCUGGAAUCAAUUGUGAGAGAAUCAACACAAAUCUGCCUAUACAAUUUUGUAAAGCCAAAAUGUCUAACACCAUGUAAACAUUUUUUCUCCAUCUCUUUUGCCUUGGGGAGCAAAUACAAGUCUCCCUAAGUGAAAAAUUACAGAUGGUUGUUACUGUAACUUCUAUCAAUCAGCAUGGAAAAUGACAGUUCAAAACACAUCAUUCAAUUGGAAUUUUAUUUACUUCCAGAAUUUCCUAUCAUUAAUUUAACUAUAAAUGAUCUAACUUGUUCUAAAUUUACUUUAUUAUACAUGCUAAGUUAUUCGGACUCUUCGUUUGCUUUAGAAUACACGCAUCCAACACAUUCAAACAUGAGUACAAAAUAGCAUGAUUCUCCAAACAAAUGAAAAAACUUAUAUCCCCUUAUUGAAAUCUUUUAGCCAAGGAGUUAAAGCUUUGUUUCGUUUUUCAAGUAGGAAUUAGUCUUUAUAUAUAAUAAUUAACAGUACAUGACUUAGUAAAAAUUGUUUUGAAGGUAAAACAUAUAAAAUGACUUUUUUUAUUAGCCAUAAAAUACAUAUAAAAAAACAUACAAAAUUGCUUAAAUGUAAAGAUGUAAAUGAAAGAGGAUAACCUUUGUGACAAAAAAGAAAACUAAAAUGAAGUUAUUUAAAUGAAAUAGGGACUUGAAUAUAACUGUGCAAAAUAUAACAUGACCUAAAAUGAAAUUAACCCAAUAUCAAACUUUGAAUAUUAACUCAGAUUUUAAUGGCCUUCUUUUCUUUCUUUCUUUCACGGUUUUUUUUUUACAAAGUCAUGUACGGUUAAUAAUGAAUAGUCAAAAUAUGCAGACAACACUCAACAAACAUGCCAUCAAACAAGUUGACCGAAACCAGAUUCAUCUGUAAGGUUAUCCAAAUAUAUAUAUAGCAGCACAUACCAGAAAUUUUGUGAGCUGUCAAGCUAAGUUUUGGCUUCACCCCUAUGGAACUAUUUGAUUGCAGCACGGCGUAGACAAGAAUAAGGAUAAAAUGCAACCAAUUGGGUGCUGGUGAGGACUAGUUGCAGCCUGUAGGACACACUUCAGGUGCUCUUCACAAGAGUUUGUCUUACGGAUUCUUACAGAUCCACACCUUAAUAAAAAUCAACAUGCUUGGUGAAGUCAGAAUGUAAGAGGAGGUCAAGGUCACCCAUGUUACAUGUUCCCUGUCAUUGCCUGACGGAUUAUAUGUCUUUAAAGUAGGAACCGACAUAAAUGGUGCAGUGGUACAACUCUUUUAUUGUGAAGAAGCAUUUUACUGGUCCAGAUCUUCCAUAUUUGGGUGGGCUCCUUGGUCGGUUUCUAUUGCCAGAAGGGGUAGGCAAACUAUUUUUUCAAAGUAUUUUGCCAUGGAAUUCUUGAUAAUGAGUUAGACGACAACACCAUGUGAUCCCCUAUAAUGAAGCCAUGUAGAACAUGAUUUUUCUCUCUACCCCUUGCAUCUAUAUAUACAGAGUAGAUUAUGUUCACUGGCAAUUCCUAUCUUCACAUCCUCAACUACUAAAGUACUUUACCUUUGCUUUCCUUUUUCAAAGCAUACAUCUAUCUAAAACAACAAUGGCUAUUCGCUUGCCUCGUAUCGUUAGCUCUAAGAAAGUUCCCAAAGGCUACUUUGUGGUUUAUGUUGGAGAAAACCAGAAGAGGUUUGUGAUACCGGUGUCGUUCUUGAACCAGCAAUUAUUUCAAGAUUUGCUAGGCAAGUCAGAAGAAGAGUUCGGAUAUAGUCAUCCUACAGGCGGCCUCACGAUUCCCUGCAACGAAAACACCUUUCUUGAAGUUACCUCUCGUUUGUACUAAUUGUGAGAUGAUUAACAGAAACCAGGCAAUACAAUUUUGUAAAGUAAACAUCACUAAUACAUGUAAACAUUUUUUUCUCCAUCCUUUUUGCCUUGGGAAGCUGAUUAAAUCUCCCCAAGUGGAAAACUAGAGAUGGUGGUUAGCGUAACACUCCAAUAAAUCAGUAAUGACAGUUCCAAACAUAUCAUUCAGUUGUCAUUUCAUUUCCUUUCUGAAUUUUUUACUUGCUCGCGUUAAUUCCAUCUUUAAUAUAAACUGUAAAUGAUCUACCUUGUUCUAAAAUUACUUUCAAACAUGAGUGCAUGCUAAGUUAUUUGGAGUCGGACCCCUCAUUUUCUUUCGAUUGCAUGUGUCCAACACAAAUUCAAACAUGAGCACAAAGUUCGGGUAAGAUAGACUACAAGUAUCCUUUUGCAUGGUAGUAGCUUAUUAAAGGAUCCAUUUCGUGUUACAAAUUUCAAAGUAAUUUUCUUAAUGCGGAUUUGAUAAAGAAUUAAGAUAUGUAAAGACGUGAAGCAAGGGACUAAGAGGUUAAUAUAACAAAGCUAAUAACAAAAUAUUUUAAAUAAAAAAGAGAAGAGUAAAAGAGAUGCAAGUUCGUGAUGCAUAUUGAUUAGUAUUAUGAGAAAGUACACUUCAUUCUUGUUACUUGUUUGGUUUUAUAUUUUAAUGGUUAAUCAACAUUGGUAAAAUUCAAUAAAUUUUCAAAUACUCUAAACUCCAGUCAUGUAUAUGGAAACAAAUAUACAAAUGACUGAAUGUAAAAUCAAAUAGCUUUUUGACCAUUUUGAGAUAAGAGUAAGAGGACUACAAACUCCUAUUUCAUUUAUAUAUUUUUUGCAUCAGCUAUUAAGAAGCCUUAGAGAUGAACAUAUUCUACCCUUGCAACUUUUCCCAGUUCAUAAGAGUUAUGUGUUUGUGAGUACCUGCACUUGUUCAGACUAAGCAGAUUUAGGAAUUGAUAAAUCAGGCUGGAAGAGGAGUUUGGCUUUGAUCAUCCAAGAGGUAGUCUCGCAGUCCCAUGUGCAGAAGAAGCCUUCAUUGAACUUUCUUGUAGUUUGAAUAGCUUUCUGACAUUGACCUGACAUAUUUUCUCCCGCAUAUAAUAACGAAUAGUCAAAAUAUGCAAAGAUCGAAACAAACAUGCCACCAGAAAGGUGGACUAAAAACAGAUUUAUCUGUUAUGUUUUCCAUAUAUAUAUAUAUAUAGCAGCACAUACCAGAGACUUUGUGAGCUGUCAAGCUGAAUAUUGUCUUCAACCCUAUGGAACUAUUUGAUUGCAGCACGGCAUAGACAACAAACCUGGAUAAAAUGCAACAAGUUGGGUUCAGAUGAGGAGUUGUUGUAGCCUGUAGGACACACUUCAGGCGCUCUUCACAAGGGUUUGUCUUACAAGUUUUAUGUGAAGUCUGUAUGAAAUAGGAGGUCAAAGUCACCCAUGUUAUUUGUUCCCUAUCAUUGCAUGGCAGAUUGUAUGUCUCUAAAGGUUUCCUCUAUUGUCACUAGUGAAGUAAUAAAAAUCUUUACUAGGAAGAAGCUUUUAAUGGAUCCAAAUCUUCCAAAUCUGAGUAGGUCCUUAGUC